CGUGUUAUUAUUUCCUGUAUGACUAUGUCACUGAUGCAACACUAUUUCUUUGUAUGUUACAAUCAAUCUGUCUAAGCGAUGCAAACCAUUAAUACUGGUACUCAACGGAGUGCAAAAAAAAACUGGGUGAACACGCAGACAGUAUUGUCGUGAUACCUUUACGAUCACAAGUACCAAGAGGUAUUAAUUAUUACCAAAUAUCCACCGUACAAACAUUAUUUUCAAGUCUCUUUUUUUUUUCAAUUAAAGUAAGAUUGAAGAAAACAUUGACUUUUCGCUCCUCUUGAUCUGAGCUUUUUUAAAAAGUUUUCUACGCCUUUAUCAAAAGUUUUCAUUCCAGUCACCCUGGAAGGAAAAUCAGUCUGUUUUGAUAGGUGCAUUUGAUAGCCGUGCUGAGCGAGGGGGUUACCCAUGAACUACGAGUGUUCCAGUACACUAUAGGAGGACGAUUUACGCUUGCGAUGGCGUGUUGUUACGAAGAUGAUGGGUUUUUUUUUUCAUCCAGCUAGCGGAAUAUCGUCUGCUUUCGACGUCGCCGAAGGACAUAGACUGCAUGCCGAGGAUCAUGUGAAGGAAUACGAGAGAAAAAUUUGUGAAAAGAAAAACAACAUCGAUCUAGUCUUGAAAAUCUGGUUAACAAUGCCCGUGACUUGCGCAGGUUACUCUCCGAAAAACUGUUUACGUUAGCCACUGAUAAAUAUCAAUGUAAUGCAGACUCCGAGCCCCACUGCCAGGACAGUCCGUCACAAAAGAGCCAUGAUCAAGACAGUUUUGAUGAUCUUGGCGUUCAUGAGGAAGGGAUCGAGACAAAGGCCGAUACGAACUGGGAAUCUUCUAACAUUGAAUUUUAUGGAAAUUCUGACUGCACAGGUAGUGUGGAACCUGAACCGUGGACAGACUAUCUAUUGUACACUGAGCAGCAUAAUAACCUGGAUACAAAAGACACAAAUGCGAAGGAGGACAGAGAGUCAUCCAGUCAAGAGUGGUAUAAUGAUUCCCAUGGAGACCUGGACAACUGGAUGGAAGAAUAAAUAAUCUUGUCUUAGACAUUGGAAAUUUCUUAGGCCUUCAUAUCAACUACACCCUGAUGUUUUGUAGACUUUGGUUCAUUAGUAAAGUAGGCAGGACAGCGAAAAACUGAAAUUAGACUUCAGAGGAUUUUGAUGAGUGCAUUGAAUUUUAAAUAGAAUCCUGCAAGACUACAUUUAUUUUUUUCCGACCUCUGUUGACUUAAGUAUUUUCAAAAGGAUGCUAAUACAAAAAUUUCCGAUGAUAUGUUUUAAAAGCAAAAAAAGCGCGUGGAAUUUCAAUGGGAUAUUUUCUCACUGGGUAUUAUUAGGUUCCAUUUCCUGUUUUGCUCCUACCAUGACAAAGGGUAAUAGUGCGUCACAGAACUGUGAGAAACGGAAAUAUUCAACAACAUCUUUUAAUGAAUUUUAUGCCUCUUAUAAAAGAUUUACUACAUGGUAGAGAUGACUUUUCAAUCUGGCCCAAAUUAUAGCUUGGAAGUGGUUCUACUAAAAAAAGCUCAUGUCCAUCUGAUUUAUUUUGAUACAAACAACAUCACAUGAGGGAUGUUCUACAAUGUGAUGAUGCAGGCUCAUAUGUGUUCAGAGAAUAUUCGCAUUACUUGAUUUCUCACUCCCAUUUCUGAAUUAAACUUCAGAACUACAACCCUGUAGCCAUUUGAGGGAACGUAAAAACUAAGGCAUUACAAGCUACAGGCGCUUAUCUUACAAGGCGUCUAAGUGGCUGCGUAGGAUGUAAAUGAUAAAAUCUUCUGGGCACCGCGCAGAAAGUCUGCCAGCACCCUGACGUGGACGCUCGUUUAGCGCUCCCCCCCCCCCCUCUCCACGCGGUCUCUGCCUGGUUUCCACCCAUCAUAAUGCUUGCCACCGUCAUAUAGGUGAAAUAUUCUUGACUUCGGCCGUAACACACCCAUCAAAUAAAUAAAUCACGUUGAUGUGUUAGUAUCUCAAGGUCGAGAUGUAGGUCACAGAAGAAAGGUAUAACCCAACUAAAAGCCGUUUGCAAAGGCCAUAAGCCAAUUACUGUCAAGCAGUACAGUUUCUUGAUUUUCUUGAAAGUGACUGUCAUUUCCGUGGAGAAGGCGGAUUGACUUUCCUCCCAAUCUUUUGCAAUUGAUGGUAACAUUAGGUUAUUAGUAUUAAAGAGAAGAGAAGCACCUGAGGUAUUUUGUGGAGAUAUGUAUAAGUCUUUUAUUAGUGAACAUCUUGAAUCUCGGUCAGGUCACAUAUAUGAUUGCUGUAUUUCUCUGAGCUAAGCACUUUGGCUCGAGUAUAGCUUUAAAAUUGUUCCAGUUGGAAAGGUCGUAAGCCAGUCACCUGACAUCACAGGCAUGAUUAUUUCCCUCUUUAUCAUAAAGCCUUGUAAAUUAAUUCUCUAUCUGACAAUGUGCAAAUGCGCAAAAAUAAAUGCUACAAUAUAUAUAAAUAUUGUCUAUGUUGCAUGGAGUGCAUGUUGACCUUUCAUUCCCAGUCUUCACAGGCUACGGUGCCGGUACCUUCGACAUUGAGAGGGACGUCUCGAUAUUAUAAAAACAAACUUGCACAUGAAAUAAUAUACAAUCUCAUGAUGUGGCUUUGACCUAGCUGUAUCUGAAUUAGCUAUAUUGUGACGCGAUGAGCCCUAGAAAUUUACGUGAUCCGUGCACUUUCUUGAUAUCGGAGUAGGCUAUUUCCAUUUAUUGGUAAGUUAUUUCCCUUAGUGCAUGUUACCGUGUAGAAAAUAAUCCUUCAUUUGGUGUGAACUUGGAAUACGCUGGUACCAAUAUAAACUCGUUACCUCAAAGGAGAAGAACACAAAAAUGACGUCAAAACCAGAUGAAAGAAAGUGAAAACUUAAUUGCAAAUAUGGUCCUCAAAAUUUUGUCGAUUUUUUCUUUUAGGAGAAAGGCCAUUGGAAAUAUUUCGUAUGGUUGGUAUUUGGCACCACCUCUUGGUAUAUAUCGUCUUGGCAUCACAAUGUUGUAAAAUAGGGUGUGAUGCAUGUGUAAUGAAGUUAUUUUCAUGGUCUUUGCAGUCAGCAGCAUCACUUGUAAUUAUUUCCGCAGCUUUAUCCUAAAAUGCUCCAAAUUUGAUCUUUGGAUAAAAUGUAAUUUCGUCCACAUGUGUUUGUAUUUUUUACCGGAAGUAUCAGAAUUUCACCUG